rnacentral:rRNA from 1 species
GCUCAACCGAGGAAGUGCUUCGAAAACUGGUAAACUUGAGUGCAGAAGAGGAAAGUGGAACUCCAUGUGUAGCGGUGGAAUGCGUAGAUAUAUGGAAGAACACCAGUGGCGAAGGCGGCUUUCUGGUCUGUAACUGACGCUGAGAUUCGAAAGCAUGGGUAGCAAACAGGAUUAGAUACCCUGGUAGUCCAUGCCGUAAACGAUGAGUGCUAAGUGUUGGAGGGUUUCCGCCCUUCAGUGCUGCAGCUAACGCAUUAAGCACUCCGCCUGGGGAGUACGACCGCAAGGUUGAAACUCAAAGGAAUUGACGGGGGCCCGCACAAGCGGUGGAGCAUGUGGUUUAAUUCGAAGCAACGCGAAGAACCUUACCAGGUCUUGACAUACCAUGAAAAGCUUAGAGAUAAGUCUUUCCCUUCGGGGACAUGGAUACAGGUGGUGCAUGGUUGUCGUCAGCUCGUGUCGUGAGAUGUUGGGUUAAGUCCCGCAACGAGCGCAACCCUUAUUAUCAGUUGCCAGCAUUCAGUUGGGCACUCUGGUGAGACUGCCGGUGACAAACCGGAGGAAGGUGGGGACGACGUCAAAUCAUCAUGCCCCUUAUGACCUGGGCUUCACACGUGCUACAAUGGUCGGUACAACG